UACAGAGGUCUCGAGCGUUGUUCGGAUUCAUUGGGCGUAAAGGGUGCGUAGGUGGCGCUGUAAGUCGGGUGUGAAAUCCUGAGGCUUAACCUCGGAACUGCAUUCGAUACUGCGGCGCUUGAGGACUGGAGAGGAGACUGGAAUUCAUGGUGUAGCAGUGAAAUGCGUAGAGAUCAUGAGGAAGACCAGUGGCGAAGGCGGGUCUCUGGACAGUAACUGACGCUGAGGAGCGAAAGCGUGGGGAGCGAACAGG
rnacentral:rRNA from 1 species